UAAUUUAUAUUUAUAUUAUAUUUUCACUAUCCCUUUUUGAAGUUCAUACCCAUCUAAAAUAAAUAUAGAUAUAAAUUUUAUCAUCUGAUUAAUAUUUAUAUUCAUUAGCUAAAAAUAGAUAUAAACAUGGAUAAUAUUGAUAUCCAAUAGACAUUCCCUACACGUAGCAAAAUAGGUAAAGCGGUUAAAAAAAAAAAAGGAAAGGGAAAAACCUUGACUUCAACAGUAGUUCCACUUUCCGGUUCACUGACCGGUUUGAACGGAACGGCACCGAUGGGGCUCUCUGCCCAAUGGAAGUACGGCACUGUCAUCCAUCCAACCCCACGCUCCCUGAC
rnacentral:lncRNA from 1 species